rnacentral:rRNA from 1 species
UGGGGAAUAUUGCACAAUGGGCGCAAGCCUGAUGCAGCCAUGCCGCGUGUGUGAAGAAGGCCUUCGGGUUGUAAAGCACUUUCAGCGGGGAGGAAGGCGAUAAGGUUAAUAACCUUGUCGAUUGACGUUACCCGCAGAAGAAGCACCGGCUAACUCCGUGCCAGCAGCCGCGGUAAUACGGAGGGUGCAAGCGUUAAUCGGAAUUACUGGGCGUAAAGCGCACGCAGGCGGUCUGUCAAGUCGGAUGUGAAAUCCCCGGGCUCAACCUGGGAACUGCGUUCGAAACUGGCAGGCUAGAGUCUUGUAGAGGGGGGUAGAAUUCCAGGUGUAGCGGUGAAAUGCGUAGAGAUCUGGAGGAAUACCGGUGGCGAAGGCGGCCCCCUGGACGAAGACUGACGCUCAGGUGCGAAAGCGUGGGGAGCAAACAGG